UACGUAGGUGGCAAGCGUUGUCCGGAUUUAUUGGGCGUAAAGGGAGCGCAGGUGGUGACUUAAGUCUGAUGUGAAAGCCCACGGCUCAACCGUGGAGGGUCAUUGGAAACUGGGUCACUUGAGUACAGAAGAGGGAAGUGGAAUUCCAUGUGUAGCGGUGAAAUGCGUAGAGAUAUGGAGGAACACCAGUGGCGAAGGCGGCUCUCUGGCCUAGAACUGACGCUGAAGCGCGAAAGCGUGGGUAGCGAACGGGAUUAGAUACCCCCGUAGU
rnacentral:rRNA from 1 species